AAUACUUUUUGUUGAUAAUUUUACUCAAAAUUUGAUUGGUGGUGAACACAUUUAGAAAUUACUAACUGCGAGUGUUUUUGUCAGGUUUACAGUGUUAAGUUCGUGAGGUGUAGAGAGGCAACGUUAGCCUACAGAAGAGUGAAAGUUUCUAAUGCGGGCUCGAUUUCCUGAAAUAAGAUCCUCUCGGCUCUAUUCCCGCCGAGGCCUGGUUUUACUUCGAGUCUGAAGCAGACACAUUUGGGCGGUUUUCUACUCCGAGGAGAGAAUUCAUCAAAUGAAUUGGCCCAGACGUCUGCAGUGUGCAGUGAAGGAAGCUCCUCUCAUAAGAUUGCAGACUGGGAGCCUGAUGACACUGUGUGAGUGAGGGAAGCCCUUCAAGAAAGGAGCAGAAUGAUGAAGAUGAAGCCAGAAUUGAAGCCAAGUUCCUGGCUUUUCCCAAGACCUUCAAGGACACGAUUGACCUCGGAAUCAGCUGUAAAGGAGGACUAAACCGAUGUUUAAGAAUGGGACAGUGAUAUUGCAUCAAUUUGUCUCCUUCAUUUGAUUCCACCAUCGCCACAAGGCUGCAAGGGACCUGGAGAAAUGUCCUCCUAUCAAGCUGAAAAAUAUCUUCAAAAAGGCACUAACCAGAAGAACACCUUGUAGAGACCACACAGCCGUACCUGCUCGCUGAUGGGACAACGAGGAACAGCAUUCAUGGAUGCUACACAACUGUCGACAAGUAUCUUGCUGCAGUCUUGUUCAAAUCUACCUGUCAUAUUUGUUAAUGUCUAGCACAAACCAGUUACUUAAUGACAUCAGCCAACAGGAAGUGACAUCAUUAUGGAGGGAAAACAGCAACACAUCAUCUGUAACAUCAUCAUCCACAAACAGAAGCCUGGCAGACAUUUGAUUGUGGAGCAACCUGGAAAAUCCAAGCUGUUAAUCAAAGUUUGUCGAAUAGAGAUGGCAGUAGAUCUUCAUAAACACGCUGACAGCUGAAUCGCUCAUCUCAUCUGCUUGAUAUUCAGUGAUCCCGAGACAUACUAAAGUCACGCCAAAUCAACACGUCUGAUGGCUCAAUCAUCGUGAUACUGUGAUACAGUUACACCAGCUGAGAGAUCAUUCAGACCUCAAAACACAUUCUCACUGCAGUGCAGUGCUGUAAACAGAUUGGCUUUUUGGCGUGAAGAAUGAAGAUGGGGAAAACCUUGGUUAAACAUCUGGGGCAGUGAAUGAAAGGUUGUAGGUUUGAAUCCAUAAGGGCUGCUCAAGGUGUAAAAAACACUUAACCUCCUCAAGGGUCAUUGUCUCUGUAGUAAGUGCACUGUAACUCACUGUUUAAAGAAAAAUACAUCAGCUAAACGGUACAGUUGUGUGUGUUGAAGUACUGCAGUGGUGGAGGAAGCAGGUAAGU